rnacentral:rRNA from 1 species
ACGCUUCUUUUUCCACCGGAGCUUGCUCCACCGGAAAAAGAGGAGUGGCGAACGGGUGAGUAACACGUGGGUAACCUGCCCAUCAGAAGGGGAUAACACUUGGAAACAGGUGCUAAUACCGUAUAACAAUCAAAACCGCAAGGUUUUGAUUUGAAAGGCGCUUUCGGGUGUCGCUGAUGGAUGGACCCGCGGUGCAUUAGCUAGUUGGUGAGGUAACGGCUCACCAAGGCCACGAUGCAUAGCCGACCUGAGAGGGUGAUCGGCCACAUUGGGACUGAGACACGGCCCAAACUCCUACGGGAGGCAGCAGUAGGGAAUCUUCGGCAAUGGACGAAAGUCUGACCGAGCAACGCCGCGUGAGUGAAGAAGGUUUUCGGAUCGUAAAACUCUGUUGUUAGAGAAGAACAAGGAUGAGAGUAACUGUUCAUCCCUUGACGGUAUCUAACCAGAAAGCCACGGCUAACUACGUGCCAGCAGCCGCGGUAAUACGUAGGUGGCAAGCGUUGUCCGGAUUUAUUGGGCGUAAAGCGAGCGCAGGCGGUUUCUUAAGUCUGAUGUGAAAGCCCCCGGCUCAACCGGGGAGGGUCAUUGGAAACUGGGAGACUUGAGUGCAGAAGAGGAGAGUGGAAUUCCAUGUGUAGCGGUGAAAUGCGUAGAUAUAUGGAGGAACACCAGUGGCGAAGGCGGCUCUCUGGUCUGUAACUGACGCUGAGGCUCGAAAGCGUGGGGAGCAAACAGGAUUAGAUACCCUGGUAGUCCACGCCGUAAACGAUGAGUGCUAAGUGUUGGAGGGUUUCCGCCCUUCAGUGCUGCAGCUAACGCAUUAAGCACUCCGCCUGGGGAGUACGACCGCAAGGUUGAAACUCAAAGGAAUUGACGGGGGCCCGCACAAGCGGUGGAGCAUGUGGUUUAAUUCGAAGCAACGCGAAGAACCUUACCAGGUCUUGACAUCCUUUGACCACUCUAGAGAUAGAGCUUCCCCUUCGGGGGCAAAGUGACAGGUGGUGCAUGGUUGUCGUCAGCUCCUGUCUUGAAAUGUUGGGUUAAGUCCCGCAACGAGCGCAACCCUUAUUGUUAGUUGCCAUCAUUCAGUUGGGCACUCUAACAAGACUGCCGGUGACAAACCGGAGGAAGGUGGGGAU